AGUGAACGCUGGCGGUAGGCCUAACACAUGCAAGUCGAACGGCAGCACAGUAAGAGCUUGCUCUUACGGGUGGCGAGUGGCGUACGGGUGAGGAAUACAUCGUAAUCUACUUUUUCGUGGGGGAUAACGUAGGGAAACUUACGCUAAUACCGCAUACGACCUACGGGUGAAAGCAGUGGAUCUUCGGACCUUGCGCGAUUGAAUGAGCCGAUGUCGGAUUAGCUAGUUGGCGGGGUAAAGGCCCACCAAGUCGACGAUCCGUAGCUGGUCUGAGAGGAUGGUCAGCGACACUGGAACUGAGACACGGUCAAGACUCCUACGGGAGGCAGCAGUGGGGAAUAUUGGACAAUGGGCGCAAGCCUGAUCCAGCCAUACCGCGUGGGUGAAGAAGGCCUUCGGGUUGUAAAGCCCUUUUGUUGGGAAAGAAAAGCAGCAGGUUAAUACCCCGCUGUUCUGACGGUACCCAAAGAAUAAGCACCGGCUAACUUCGUG
rnacentral:rRNA from 1 species